GUCGAACGGGGAUGCAUUAAGAAGGAGUGCUUGCAUUCCGGAAGGAUGCAUCUUAGUGGCGGACGGGUGAGUAACGCGUGGGUAACCUGCCCCAUACCGGGGGAUACCACCUGGAAACAGGUGCUAAUACCGCAUAAGCGCACGGGAGCGCAUGCUCCUGUGUGAAAAACUCCGGUGGUAUGGGAUGGACCCGCGUCUGAUUAGCCAGUUGGCAGGGUAACGGCCUACCAAAGCGACGAUCAGUAGCCGGCCUGAGAGGGUGGACGGCCACAUUGGGACUGAGACACGGCCAAACUCCUACGGGAGGCAGCAGUGGGGAAUAUUGCACAGUGGGGGAAACCCUGAUGCAGCGACGCCGCGUGAGUGAAGAAGUAUUUCGGUAUGUAAAGCUCUAUCAGCAGGAACGAGACAAGACGGUACCUGACUAAGAAGCCCCGGCUAACUACGUGCCAGCAGCCGCGGUAAUACGUAGGGGGCAAGCGUUAUCCGGAAUCACUGGGUGUAAAGGGAGCGUAGACGGCUGAGCAAGCCUGAAGUGAAAGGCGGGGGCCCAACCCCUGGACUGCUUUGGGAACUGUACGGCUGGAGUGCAGGAGAGGUAAGUGGAAUUCCUAGUGUAGCGGUGAAAUGCGUAGAUAUUAGGAGGAACACCAGUGGCGAAGGCGGCUUACUGGACUGUAACUGACGUUGAGGCUCGAAAGCGUGGGGAGCAAACAGGAUUAGAUACCCUGGUAGUCCACGCCGUAAACGAUGAUUACUAGGUGUCGGGGGGCAGAGGCCCUUCGGUGCCGCAGCAAACGCAAUAAGU
rnacentral:rRNA from 1 species